AUGAUCACCGGGGGUCUGCAGACCCCCAGAGUCACGGAGAGGACGUGGAAGAAAGGGAAGGAGAGAGAGAGACCAAGAAAUGGAGACACAGAUCUCUUAUGUGCUAAAAACCAAGAAGAACCUCAUAACCGAUGUGUAUAUGUAUGCCUGAGCAUCAGAGGACACAGCAUUCAGCCUCAGACCUCCAGAAUCCUGUGUGCGUGUUUGAGAAGGAUAAAUAGCCUGCAUUUGAGAGCAUGUGACCAUGGAGGAGUGGAGGCUGGCGACGCCGGUCUCGGAGAGGGCCACAGCCAUCUUGGGUGCUUUCUGGGUGCCCCACGCCGGAGCCCGUCCAGCCACCCAUGCAGGGACUCACCGAGUUUCUCUCUCACAUUCUGUAAUAAAAGCCUUUCUGUGUCUGCACAGAUGGGAAGGCUGCUGCCACCUUCUCAUUUCACAUUAUCCUGCACUUUUCUUCCUAAGCGCUUGACUGCCCGAAAUAGAAUCGUGGUUUUUGGAGUCCGCGUGUAGGAAUGUAGUGGGGUGGGGUGGGGUGGGGGAGUGGGGGGGUGGUCAGGGUUUCUGUAAUCCCCUCUAAUAACCACACCCUGAGGGAAUUUUCCUAUUGGCUACAAGAUGGAUGAAAGAUUCAGAGGCGUGCGCAAAGUGUCUUUCGGAGAAGAGCCUCGAUUUUCCUUCCGGGGGUGGUUAGGGAAGGCUGACUGUAAGCCAGGACAUUAGCGCCCCACGAGGGCACAAGAGGGCCCUUUGCAUGCUUAUCCCCAGUAGCCCCCAUCCCUGAUUCUCUGCUUUCCUGGGGUCUCUUCCUCACUGGAUCACGCCCCCCACCACCCGCCUCUUUAAACGGAGCUCCCCAAACAAUCCACCUCCUUGCUCCUCUCUGCCUAGGUGAAUUCCCUCCAUCCAACCAAGUCUAAUUCAAAUCCCACCUCUUCUGGGAAGCCUUCCUGGAUGACUUCAGCUGGCAGGGAUUUCCCUCUUGUCUGAAUUUUCAAAGCCGCUGCUAACAGUCAUGGAGCACGUCCGUGCCGGGCAGCAUUCGUAGCAGUUUACAUAGACAAAGUCACAGUCCUUACAAUGACUCCACAAAGUCAGUUUUGUUAUUAUCCCCAUUUUACAGAUGAGGAUCCUGAGCCCUCCAGGGUUCUCCUAGCUCCCUAACUAGAUUAGAA
rnacentral:lncRNA from 1 species